CUCUUUGUGCCUCUUCCCUUGGGUUCUUGAGGAGCUAGAUUAGGGGAAGACUCCUGAUUAAAGACUGCCUUGGGAGCCAGUCUAUUAGGGAUGCCAAAACAUCACUGGAAGUAUAAAGAGUCAGAUAUGAAACGCUCCCAGGGAGAUGGCUGGAUGUGCUGAAAGAAAUACAAGAGAAGCAUCUUGGGAUGGGUAGGAAUGGGAUGGCAUGGGGAGAGGGUGAAGUGAGCUUCUCAAGGGGCCUCAACCCCCAAACCUGCCUUCUAAGAAGGGUGGGUUCAAAGCCCAAGGUGCUUUGGUUUUGCUAAGUGGGUAUGUGAGUAGGAGUCCUUUGCCUUUUUGCUCCCUGGCUCAGCCUGCCCUCUGAGUAAAAGUUGAACAAAAUGUUAAGAAUCAGUGUGAAACUGUGUUUGAAAGAUUAGGCCAACUAGAAGCCCAUAGGCUUAGCUCUGAUACCACAAACUACCUCAUUAUCUCUUCCUUAUGCUGUUUCUCCCAUCGGUGGUGAGUAGUGGCCCCACCUGUAGGCUGGCAGGUAGGUCCAUGGGAGCCCCUUCCCUUCACUGGUAUGCCGCCCAGCCCUGUCCAGCAGGUGCUACUGGCCUCAUUAUUAAAACUAGGCCCUGGCUCUUCCCU
rnacentral:lncRNA from 1 species